rnacentral:rRNA from 1 species
AUUGAACGCUGGCGGCAUGCUUUACACAUGCCAGUCGAACGAGUGGCGAACGGGUGAGUAAUACAUCGGAACGUGUCCUAUCGUGGGGGAUAACUGAUCGAAAGGUCAGCUAAUACCGCAUACGAUUGGAGCGGCCGAUGCCCGAUUAGCUAGUUGGUGAGGUAAAGGCUCACAAAGGCGACGAUCGGUAGCUGGUCUGAGAGGACUAUCAGACACACUGGGACUGGGACACGGGCCAGACUCCUUCGGGAGGCAGCAGUGGGGAAUGUUGGACAAUGGGGGCAACUCUGAUCCAGCCAUGCCGCGUGCAGGAGGAAGGUCUUCGGAUUGUAAACUGCUUUUGUUAGUGAAGCGGUACCUGAAGAAGAAGCACCGGCUAACUACGUGCCAGAAGCCGCGGUAAUAC